GUUUAGAAGUAAAUGUCAUUCUUCCAAACUCAAGGACAGCCAGUGUAGUUUGCUUAUUAUUAUUUUCAUUCAUUUCUUUUGCUACUCUAAACGACCUGCAAAAGAAUUUGAGGAGGUAGGACUAAGAGGGACCAAUGACCAUCAAUUGUGAAACUUAAACAAGCAUGAAUGCUGAUUUGAAAUUUCAAUGAGGUAGGGGUAGGAGGUACUAUUGUAUUUUGGAGAGAGAGAGAGAGAGAGAGAGUUCAAUGCUUUGGAAGCCCUGGCUCCAACUCCUACCUCAGCUUCCGCCACUUUUACUCUCUUUCCAAUUCACACUCUCUUUCGGUGUGUUGCUUUCUCCAAAGUCUCUUGUCUUUUUGGUUAUCUUGAAGUGGGUAUUUGUGUUUCUACUCAGAAACGAGUUUGGGCAGUCUUCCACAAGAGAACCCAUGAUGGGACCAAGUUUGCUGUCACUGAGAGACCUGUUAAACAGGUGAGACGAGAUUUCUGCACAGAAACAGCUGAAACCUUCAUUGAAGAGCAGAAAUCUAGAUGGGGAAAAUGCUUCUAGGUUUCUUUGAUGAGAGCCGACUUAACAAUUCAGCCUCUAACCUUCUGGAUGCCUUGUUUAGUGAUGAUUGAUUGAAGAGAGUUAACCAUGAGAUAUAACUGGCCUCAAACAUUGAGCAUAGUGUGGCUUGUGGGUCUAUAUUGCCUCAACUGUUGAAAAGUAAAUAUACAACUCAUGCAUAAGCAGUGACACGAGAAAUUUUUUGUAAGUAACUAAUUGACUGAGAGAAAGUUCUUGUUUGAGGGAUUUGUUGCAAAUUACAGUGAUAAUUUGUUGCAAUUGCAAUGAGACAAUGAGUGACUGAGGACAUUAAAAUGAACUUUUUAUCUAUUUUGGUUGGAUUACC